rnacentral:rRNA from 1 species
CGGGACGGGUGAGUAACGCGUGGGUAACCUGCCUCACACUGGGGGAUAACAGUUAGAAAUAGCUGCUAAUACCGCAUAAGCGCACAGUUCCGCAUGGAACAGUGUGAAAAACUCCGGUGGUGUGAGAUGGACCCGCGUCUGAUUAGCCAGUUGGCGGGGUAACGGCCCACCAAAGCGACGAUCAGUAGCCGGCCUGAGAGGGUGAACGGCCACAUUGGGACUGAGACACGGCCCAA